AUUGAACGCUGGCGGCAGGCCUAACACAUGCAAGUCGAACGAGUGGCGGACGGGUGAGAAAUGUCUGGGAAACUGCCCGAUGGAGGGGGAUAACUACUGGAAACGGUAGCUAAUACCGCAUACCAUCGGCUUGACACAGAUGGGAUUAGCUAAUAGUUGGGGGAAAGGCACACCUAGGCGACGAUCCCUAGCUGGUCUGAAAGGAUGACCAGCCACACUGGAACGGAGACACGGUCCAGACUCCUACGGGAGGCAGCAGUGGGGAAUAUUGCACAAGGGGCGAAAGCCUGCUGCAGCAAGGCCGCGUGGAUGAAGAAGGCCUUCGGGUGGUAAAGUACUUUCAGCGGGGAGGCGUUACCCGCAGAAGAAGCACCGGCUAACUCCGUGCCAGCAGCCGCGGUAAUUC
rnacentral:rRNA from 1 species